AUAUAGGUCAAGCUACAAAGGGCGCAUGGUGAAUGCCUUGGCAUCAGGAGCCGAUGAAGGACGUGAUAAGCUGCGAUAAGCUUCGGGUAGGCGCACAUAGCCUGAGAUCCGAAGAUCUCCGAAUGAGGAAACUCACAUGGGAAACCCCAUGUAUCAUUAAGUGAAUACAUAGCUUAAUGAAGGUAACCCAGGGAACUGAAACAUCUAAGUACCUGGAGGAAGAGAAAGAAAAAUCGAUUUUCUUAGUAGCGGCGAGCGAAAGGGAAAGAGCCCAAACCGGAAACUUGUUUCCGGGGUUGUGGACAUAGCAUAAAAGUGGAGGCUAUUGUAACUGAAGAGAACUGGAAAGUUCCACCGUAGAAGGUAAUAGUCCUGUAAAUGAAACGAGAAGACCACGAGUUAUGAUCCAGAGUACCACGAGACACGUGAAACCUUGUGGGAAGCAGGGAGGACCACCUCCCAAGGCUAAAUACUACCUGAUGACCGAUAGUGAAGCAGUACCGUGAGGGAAAGGUGAAAAGAACCCCGGGAGGGGAGUGAAAUAGAACCUGAAACCGUGUGCCUACAACCGCUCAGAGCCCCUUAUGAGGGUGAUGAGGUGCUUUUUGUAGAACGAGCCAACGAGUUACGGUAUGUAGCAAGGUUAAGUACUUAAGGUACGGAGCCGAAGGGAAACCGAGUCUGAAUAGGGCGACUAGUUGCAUGCCGUAGACCCGAAACCGGGUGACCUAUCCAUGGCCAGGUUGAAGCGAGGGUAAAACCUCGUGGAGGACCGAACCACGUUGCUGUUGAAAAAGCAUGGGAUGAGCUGUGGAUAGCGGAGAAAUUCCAAUCGAACCCGGAGAUAGCUGGUUCUCUCCGAAAUAGCUUUAGGGCUAGCGUCGAGUAUGAGUAGUGGAGGUAGAGCACUGAAUGGGCUAGGGGGCAUAGCGCUUACCGAACCUUAUCAAACUCCGAAUGCCACAUACUUUGAGCUCGGCAGUCAGACUACGAAUGAUAAGAUCCGUGGUCAAAAGGGAAACAGCCCAGAUCGUCAGCUAAGGUCCCAAAGUGUAAGUUAAGUGGGAAAGGAUGUGAGAUUUCUAAGACAACUAGGAUGUUGGCUUAGAAGCAGCCAUUCAUUAAAAGAGUGCGUAAUAGCUCACUAGUCGAGAGAUCUUGCGCCGAAAAUGUAACGGGGCUAAACUUACCACCGAAGCUACGGGCUUGAACUUAGUUCAAGCGGUAGGAGAGCGUCGUAACCGGGCUGAAGUCGUACCGUAAGGAGCGGUGGACUGGUUACGAGUGAGAAUGUUGGCAUCAGUAGCGAGAUGUGGGUGAGAAUCCCACAGGCCGAAAACCUAAGGUUUCCUCAGGAAGGUUCGUCCGCUGAGGGUUAGUCGGGACCUAAGCCGAGGCCGAAAGGCGUAGGUGAUGGACAACUGGUUGAUAUUCCAGUACCACUACCAUCGUUAUUAUCGAUGGCGUGACGCAGGAGGAUAGUGUGUGCUAGCUAUUGGAUGCUAGUCUAAGCGUUUAGGCAGUGAGAGUAGGCAAAUCCGCUCUCAUAAUGCUGAGGCGUGAUGGGGAAGGUUCUACGGAACCGAAGUACAUGAUUCCACGCUGCCAAGAAAAGCGUCUAGAGAGAGAAGUAGUGCCCGUACCGCAAACCGACACAGGUAGGUGAGGAGAGAAUCCUAAGGCCGGCGGAAGAAUUACAGUUAAGGAACUCGGCAAAUUGACCCCGUAAGUUCGCGAGAAGGGGUGCCUACGAGAGUAGGCCGCAGAGAAUAGGCCCAAGCAACUGUUUAGCAAAAACACAGGUCUCUGCUAAAGCGUAAGCUGAUGUAUAGGGGCUGACGCCUGCCCGGUGCUGGAAGGUUAAGGGGAACACUUAGCGCAAGCGAAGGUGUGAACUUAAGCCCCAGUAAACGGCGGCCGUAACUAUAACGGUCCUAAGGUAGCGAAAUUCCUUGUCAGGUAAGUUCUGACCCGCACGAAUGGCGUAAUGACUUGGGCACUGUCUCAACUGUAAAUCCGGCGAAGUUGUAGUGCGAGUGAAGAUGCUCGCUACCCGCGAUUGGACGGAAAGACCCCGUAGAGCUUUACUGUAGCUUAGCAUUGAGUUUUGGUAUUGUCUGUACAGGAUAGGUGGGAGACUAGGAAACCAGGGCGUCAGCCUUGGUGGAGUCAACCUUGGGAUACCACCCUGACAGUACUGAAAUUCUAACUGGCGGCCAUGAAUCUGGUCACAGGACAUUGUUAGGUGGGCAGUUUGACUGGGGCGGUCGCCUCCUAAAAAGUAACGGAGGCGCCCAAAGGUUCCCUCAGAACGGUCGGAAAUCGUUCGAAGAGUGCAAAGGCAGAAGGGAGCCUGACUGCGACACCCACAAGUGGAGCAGGGACGAAAGUCGGGCUUAGUGAUCCGGUGGUACCUCGUGGGAGGGCCAUCGCUCAACGGAUAAAAGCUACCUCGGGGAUAACAGGCUGAUCUCCCCCAAGAGUCCACAUCGACGGGGAGGUUUGGCACCUCGAUGUCGGCUCGUCGCAUCCUGGGGCUGAAGUAGGUCCCAAGGGUUGGGCUGUUCGCCCAUUAAAGCGGCACGCGAGCUGGGUUCAGAACGUCGUGAGACAGUUCGGUCCCUAUCCGUCGCGGGCGUAGGAAAUUUGAGAGGAGCUGUCCUUAGUACGAGAGGACCGGGAUGGACUGACCUCUGGUGUACCAGUUGUUCCGCCAGGAGCACAGCUGGGUAGCUAAGUCGGGAAUGGAUAAACGCUGAAAGCAUCUAAGCGUGAAGCCAACCUCAAGAUGAGAUUUCCCAUAGCGUAAGCUAGUAAGAUCCCUUGAAGAACACAAGGUUGAUAGGUCGGGGGUGUAAGCAUGGUAACAUGUUCAGCUGACCGAUACUAAUAGAUCGAGGGCUUGACCAAAU
rnacentral:rRNA from 1 species